CACGUAGGGGGGCGAGCGUUUGUCCGGAUUUAUUGGGCGUAAAGAGCUCGUAGGCGGCUCAGUAAGUCAGGUGUGAAAACUCCAGGCUCAACCUGGAGACGCCACUUGAUACUGCUGUGGCUAGAGUCCGGUAGGGGAGCAUGGAAUUCCUGGUGUAGCGGUGAAAUGCGCAGAUAUCUGGAGGAAUACCGGUGGCGAAGGCGGCAUCCUGGACCGACAUUGACGCUGAUGAGCGAAAGCUAGGGGAGCAAACGGG
rnacentral:rRNA from 1 species